GCGCCUGUAGCUCAGCGGAUAGAGCAAUGGCCUCCGGAGCCAUGUGUCGGGGGUUCAAUUCCCUCCAGGCGCG
rnacentral:tRNA from 1 species